UAGAAAUGCAGACAUCAUUUGGAAAUUUAAUGAAAAAAAUAGUGGUGGAAGGCAGAAAGGGUUGUAGAGCUAUUUGCAAAAAAUGCCACAAAGCAAUGGAAGGGCAAAUAGCAAGAAUGAAGGCUCAUUACAGUAAUUGUGUUGCCUUGGAAACUGGCAAUGAUAUUGGCAUGUCAUGUUACCCAGUGAUUUAGCAAAGUUGGUACCAAAGACACAUUUAAUGACAGAAACAGAAUGGCGCAAUUUAGGUGUCCAGCAGUCCCCAGGAUGGGUACACUACAUGGUUCACAGUCCAGAACCACACAUUUUACUCUUCAGAAGGCCACGAACUGAUAUCCAGAAAUCACAGUCAUAGUAACUUGAUCAUCUUUCUGAG